AGAUUGAACGCUGGCGGCAUGCCUUACACAUGCAAGUCGAACGGCAGCACGGGAGCAAUCCUGGUGGCGAGUGGCGAACGGGUGAGUAAUACAUCGGAACGUGCCCAGUAGUGGGGGAUAACCCGGCGAAAGCCGGACUAAUACCGCAUACGACCUAUGGGUGAAAGCGGGGGAUCGCAAGACCUCGCGCUAUUGGAGCGGCCGAUGUCAGAUUAGCUUGUUGGUGGGUAAAAGCCUACCAAGGCAACGAUCUGUAGCUGGUCUGAGAGGACGACCAGCCACACUGGGACUGAGACACGGCCCAGACUCCUACGGGAGGCAGCAGUGGGGAAUUUUGGACAAUGGGCGCAAGCCUGAUCCAGCCAUGCCGCGUGCGGGAAGAAGGCCUUCGGUUGUAAACCGCUUUUGUCAGGGAAGAAACGUUCUGGCUAAGUACCCGGAGUAAUGACGGUACCGUAGAAGAAUAAGCACCGGCUAACUACGUGCCGAGCAGCCGAGGUAA
rnacentral:rRNA from 1 species